rnacentral:misc_RNA from 1 species
AAAAGAUCUAGCCUGAACUUGGAAGUGAUUGCCUUUUCGAUGAUCAUGACCGAUGCCGGGUUUUCUCACCCAAAAAGUGAGUCAACAUCAUGUGAACCGUUUUGUCUCUGGCGGUGGGAGAACUAACAAUUCUCUGUCAGCACCUGAGGUUUUCCUCAGUGUGCCGUGGACAAGCCGCCAAUGGUGUAUGUUUUCAUACGAACUUUUGUUUACUUUAAAUCUGUCUGACAUAUCUUUGUAUCUAAAAUAUACAAAAA